rnacentral:miRNA from 1 species
CACGCGCUCCCCUUCUCCAAC